CCCUUAGAUGUUCUGGGCCGCACGCGCGCUACACUGAUGCAUUCAACGAGUCUAAAACCUGGUCUGAUAGGGCUGGGUAAUCUUUUGAAAGUGCAUCGUGAUUGGGAUAGAUGAUUGCAAUUCUUCAUCUUCAACGAGGAAUGCCUAGUAAACGCAAGUCAUCAGCUUGCAUUGAUUACGUCCCUGCCCUUUGUACACACCGCCCGUCGCUCCUACCGAUUGAAUGAUCCGAUGAAUACCAUGGAUUGAGAGUACGAAUGGGUUCGCUCAUUUCUGCUGCUCGAGAAGUGGAGUAAAUCUUAUCAUUUAGAGGAAGGAGACGUCGUAACA
rnacentral:rRNA from 1 species